UUUUUUUUUUUUUUUUUCCUUAGUGCUGCCCCCGUGGCAAGUGGAAGUUCCCAGGCUAGAGGUUGAAUUGGAGCUGUAGCUCCUGGCCUAUACCACAGUUACAGCCUUGUGGGAUCUGAGCCGUGUCUGUGACCUACACCACAACUCACGGCAACAAUGGAUCCUUAACCCACUGAGCGAGGCCAGGGAUUGAACCUGCAUCCUCAUAGAUACUAGUCAGAUUCGUUUCCACUGUGCCAGGAUGGGAACUCCUGCUUAUCCAUUCUAAAUGUAAAGUAGUGUGAUUUUGAAUCACAACUCCACCAGAAACCAUCUUGUGCUUAACAUCUCAGAGAAAAUUUUUUUCCUUCUCUUCUACUCAGUGACAAGCAAAAGAAAAAAAAUUUCCUUGUCACCCACUUUCUGUGUAAUAAGAUUUAUUUCUCACUCACUGUUACCCUUGAAGGCAUAGCCCUUUGUAGUUAUAAAUUCCCUCCUGGCUGACCAGGCUCCUACCUCCCAUAUCGUGGGCACCUGUCAAAGCAAAAGCUCAGAGUCUCCAGAAUUUGGCAGAAAUGUUCAGGUGAAAGUGAGCUAUGGUGCUCAUUUACCUCUGAGGGUUCCGGUUUCUCCUUUGUUUGAUAUCUAUAGAUUCCUUUCUUUUGUGCAGCUGAGUGGCCUUUUAAAAGAUAUUUGGAAAUAUUUUCCCAGUGUACUAGUUGUUUUUUAAAGAGGAGUACCGUUCAUGGUCUCGAGUCUGCUACACAACUUAAAGUGGAAGCCCUAGUUUUGUAAAAUCAAGGUGAAACUCCCCCACUUCUGGGUUUGAUAUGAGUGAGAUGAGCAAUCCCAAGAAAGAAAAAGUCAGUGUAUUUAGUACUUAUUAGUUUGACUCCAUGUAGUUAAAAGGCAGGUCUGUCAGCACCACACCCCCAACUCCUGGGUAUGCAUGAGAACGGGGUGGGGUGGGAAGGUGGAGAGCAGAAGAGAGAAUAAUGUAUUCUUAGACAUGUAAAAUGACUUUUCAUUGCUCACUUCCUAUUUAUGCCAUAUGGCAAAUCUAUCAGUAAUUUUCCAAUAUUAAAGAGAAAACUGAAUGUCUUGUUUACAGUUGGAAUUGGGCAAGAUGUGGAAUUUCACAGAGAUGAUAUAUUUGUUAUAUAAGAGAAUAUUAGUAUUUGAUUGAAAAGUGAUAUUUUUAAAUUUUUAUUUCUUUUUUUUAGGGCUGCACCCCCGACCUAUGAAAGUUUCUAGGUUAGGGGUCAAAUCAGAGCUACAGCUUCUGGCCUACACCACCAGCCACAGCAACACCAGAUCUGAGCGGUGUCUGUGACCUACACCACAGCUCAGGGCAAAGCCAGAUCCUUAACCCACUGAGCGAGGCCAAGGAUCGUAUCCAUGUCUUCAUGGAUGCUAGUUGGAUUAGUUACUGCUGAGCCAUGACGGGAACGCCUGAUAAUUUUUUUAUUCUAUGAACUCAGUAGCUAUAAAAUAAGGUACUGAGAAGCAAAUAAUUUAUUAGGUUUAAAAUAAAACACUAACUGCAAGAAAAUUAAAUCUAAUAAUUACAUGGAGGGCUUGAACUGAGCAGUUAUGUUACAAAACUUUUAAAAAUGAAAAGAGUACUUGGUAAAGGAAUGAACGGCCACGCUCCUGGAGGGUCAUUCAGAGUUAGGGAUAAGGACUUCCAAUCUAGGAAGAAGGUGUAGCAGAAGCAAAAUAUUUGCUCAUUGGUCUGUAGUUAAUUUACAGUGCAGUGAAAGAUUAGCUGAACUGAGUUGAUAGAAUUUUUAAGGCAGUCGAAUGAAUGAUCACAAUAAUGUUAGUGCUGAAGUCCAUGAAACAGGAUGGGAGGCUCAGUGAAGAGAAAGACAGAGCCGGGUUCCAGGCAGGUCAAGGAUGCUACUCUACCUACCUGGAACAUUCUGCAGUAGUAAUGGGUAUGGACGGUAUGUGUUUCAAGGCCUGAGUUGCUGGGUGGGAAUAAUGAAAAGUUUCAAAACUGGUACUUGGGGCCAUGCUAUAUGAUUCCCCAACUCUGGAUGUACUGGAAUGAGAGCUGAAUUGUUUGGAAAAAAAUCAGGAGUAUUUUCUUGGGAAAGUCAAGACGACAUUUGUCUAUUAGAAAUUUUUGUUUACCCUUCUGCUAAAUGCUUAAGCCUUUAUCCAUUUUUCUGUCAUGGAAAGAACACACUGGUAUGGAAUGAGGUGAUGGUAGUAAAAAGAACAUGGAAAAAGAAAAGUUGGUCAUCGUAGGUGGAGAGAGGGAAGGGGCAUAUGGACAUACCCAAGGCCUUCUAGAAAGGAUUCUGGGGCUGAAAAUGAAGAAUAAGGGAACAUACAACAAGGUUCUCUGUCUGUAGGAAUUGGGGAAGAAAUUAUUUUCCUAAACAACGGUAGGAAGGGAUACAUUUAAACAAUCCCCGCUGCUCUGCUUUAAAACUGGUCUAUACUAGGAUUUAGGGCUGAGGAACUGUAUAGCCGCCUGGGUUGGUCUGAGGUCCACUAUUUGAGGUAACUUGGUCUGAGGUAACUUGUUUGGUCCAUUUCCAAACAAGUUACCACAUUUUACAAAGCCAUUUUGUAUAUAUAGGUAACAUCAGACUGAAUGAAUUCUGAAUGCUAAAUAUUGUCUUAAUUUUAAGUUUUCCCUAUUUUUUUUCCUGGUUAUCAGUUAAAAAAAACUUUAGAGGAUUAACAAAAAAGAGAGAAUAGUACUUAUACAAACAUAAAGGAUAACAAACAAAAAAUAAGACAUUAGAAACUUGAAGCAUUGCCUAUUCUUCCCCCAGGUGAAUGACUGCAGCUAUGCAACUUAAUUUUGUCAGGUGGUAUGGUUAAAAAGUUGAGGUGAGAGGCCAUGACUUGAUUUCUCACCUUGGAUCUUACUUAUAUUUAAGUUUCCAUCUUUCUAAAGGAGUAAAGAGAUGUGGUUUGUUUUCUUUGUUCUCUUCCUUAUGAUUCUACUUAGUAUCUAAGGAUGAUACUUAGGAAAUAGCAUGAUGGAAAAAUAAACACUAAUAAGUGGUGCUACACCCCAUUUUCCCUACUAGCAGCACUCAGAGCAGGAUUGCAAAACCUCACUAGGUGUGUAGAACACUAAGAAAAAUAAACACCUGCAGAUUUUAAUUUAUAAGUCCUCACGGUGCACUCUGAAAAGAAAAUCUGCUUUUUACGAAAUACAAAGGCAGGGUUGAAACACAAGGCCAAAUGGAAAGAAGGCAUUCUUUCAUGGAAAACAAGCCUCAGGAAUGUUUUAAGAGAAGGCCAGUGGCAAAAAGUUAAACAGAAAUACACCAAAUAGUUCCAGAGAUUUUCUUGGUGAUAAAGUACAUGGAAAAUGUCAUAAGGCAAAACCAAGUUCCCUUAAAGAAAUAAGCACUUAAAAAAAACCCCAGUGAAUGAGGAAAGGGGAAAUAAAGGUAUGAAAUUAUUAUUUUUCUUGCUUAGUUUCUCAUCUUUUCAUUAAAUGAAAUGGAUUUCAAGAUGAGUGAGCCUGAAAAAAUUAUCAUGGAGCUUACCUGUAUUAAGCCCCUUGGGCUAAUAUUAUGAUAAUACUAUGAAAGAACAAUAUCUUAAAAGUUAUUUUUUGUUUUUCAUCCCUGAUAUGAAAGCUAUCAUGUCACAGUAAUUUGGUUGAUAAAAUAUUAAGCUAGCAUGUUUUAAUAUAUACUUCUGUGUCAUAAGAGUUUAGGAUAACUAAGUAUAACUCUGGACCAUUUGGUGGGUACUAGGUUGUGAGGUGUGCUGAGUCCAUUUUUGGAAUUCAGGCUUAUUUUAAGAUGCAUGCAUAUAUUCAUUUAUUUUAAUGAUUCCUUUAUUCACUUCCUUCUGUAGGAUGUUAGAGUUUUGCGUUUGUGUCUAGGCAAGUCCAGGCAGGUCCUUAAUUUGGGGAAGGGAGAGCAAGGAACUAAUAAGAGUUUGAACAAGUAGAGUAGCUUGUACUAGACUAACCCUCUCACACGUCCAAAUUAAACUUUGGACAAUAAUGUUUAAAAUUACCUACAGGUAAUGGAGAGUGACCAAAAAUACACAGAAACUUGAGGGGAGUUAAUUCUAGUAAGAAGGGAAUCAUAUUUUUAAUAUCUUUUCAGCUUUGGGAAAGCCUCACUGAAAGUAAUGAAAACUCAUACAGAAACUUUAAGUCUUAAUAAUGGAUCUGAAGACAGAGUUCAGAGUGACCAAAGAAUCUGGAAAGUGAGGAAUCCUGAAAGAGGAGAGAAAGCCACAGAGAGUAGCCACACUUUCCAAAUCUCACUGAUCUUGGAACUCCACAUCCUAGGGGCAGAUUUCAACUAAAAGAACUGAAUGAAGCUUUCAGAUGCUGCCGCUAUGGGGAGAUAGAAUUUGGGGCUCAAGAUGAACCAAGUUAACUGCCUACUAAACAAACAAAAAAUUCUUCAGAGGGAUGAAACAGAAUCCACAAUUUUUUUUCUUUUACAGCUGCCCUGUGGCACAUGGAGUUACUGGGCCAGAGAUCAGAUCUGAGCUUUAGUUGUGCCCUAAGCCGCAGCUGCAGCAAUGCCAGAUCCUUAACCCACUGUGCCCAGCCUGGGAUUGAACCUGCAUCCCAGCUCUCCCAAGAUGCCACCGAUCCCACUGUGCCACAGCAGGAACUCCAGGAUUCAGUUUCUAAUAUACUACUCACAAUGUCAAGGAUAUAAUCUAAUUAUGUCAGACAUAUGAAGACACACACUGAAAGGAAAAGGCAAUCAGUGGAGACUGAUUCUGAGAUGUCCUGUCAGAUGGUGGAAUUAGCAGACAUAGAUUUUAAGGUACCUGUUUUAACUCUGCCUAAAAGCAAAAAUAACACCCCCACCACCAAAACACUUGUAAUGAAUGGAUAGGAAAUUUCAGCAGAGAAAAGUAAAUUAUAACUACAACAGUAACAAUAGGAGCAAAUGGAUUCUAGAAGUGAAAAACAGUGUCCGAGAUUAAAAAAAAUCACCAGAUGGAUUUAACAGCAGUUUGGAAAUGGUAAGAGUGAGUUAGUGAACUUGACGAUACAAAAAUUGAAAUAAUCUAAAAAAUAUGAGCAGUCAAAAUUGGGGGUAUGGAGCUUUUUCUUUAGUGAUUCUAUUGCAUUUAACCUUCCUUUUGAUAAGAUUACUAGAUUGGUAAAUCAGGGGAAUACUUGAACAGUAUGUAUCUUGAUCUUGAUUGUGCCCUAACCAAGACUUCUCAUGGCAUGCUCAUGUGC
rnacentral:lncRNA from 9 species